GAGGAAAAUCUUUUAAGAUUCUGAUGAAGAAGAAAAGGAAUAAGAUUCUCAGGUGAACGCUAGGGUAAUAUGCUGACUCAUAAAGUCUUUCUUUUUGCCAUCAUUGUCACCUUUAUUCAUUGUGACGAGAAUGAAAUACGGUUGGAACAAGAUCUAAUGAGAAACUACAGCAAAAACAUCCGACCAUCCAAGAACCACAGGGACCGUCUAGACGUUCUUCUGACAGUAUCUUUAAUCGGCAUUGUUC